AUUGAACGCUGGCGGCAGGCCUAACACAUGUAAGUCGAACGAGUGGCGGACGGGUGAGUAAUGUCUGGGAAACUGCCCGAUGGAGGGGGAUAACUACUGGAAACGGUAGCUAAUACCGCAUACCCUCGGAUGUGCCCAGAUGGGAUUAGCUAGUAGGUGGGGUAACGGCUCACCUAGGCGACGAUACCUAGCUGGGCUGAGAGGAUGACCAGCCAAACCUGAAACGGGACACGGUCCAGGCUCCCACGGGAGGCAGCAGGGGGGAAUAAUUGACCAUGGGCCGAAGCCUGAUUGAGGCAUUGCGGGGGGUAUAAAAAGGGCUUUGGGUUGGAAAGGUCUUUCCGGGGGGAGGAGGUACCUGCAGGAGGAGCACCGGCUAACUCCGUGCCAGCAGCCGCGGUAAUUC
rnacentral:rRNA from 1 species